rnacentral:rRNA from 2 species
UUCCUACGGGUGGCUGCAGUGGGGAAUCUUGGACAAUGGGGGCAACCCUGAUCCAGCCAUGCCGCGUGAGUGAAGAAGGUCUUCGGAUUGUAAAGCUCUUUUGCCAGGGACGAUAAUGACGGUACCUGGAGAAUAAGCCCCGGCAAACUUCGUGCCAGCAGCCGCGGUAAUACGAAGGGGGCUAGCGUUGUUCGGAAUUACUGGGCGUAAAGCGCACGUAGGCGGGUGGUUAAGUCAGGGGUGAAAUCCCGGAGCUCAACUCCGGAACUGCCUUUGAUACUGGCCAUCUAGAGAUCGGAAGAGGUGAGUGGAAUUCCCAGUGUAGAGGUGAAAUUCGUAGAUAUUGGGAAGAACACCGGUGGCGAAGGCGGCUCACUGGUCCGAUACUGACGCUGAGGUGCGAAAGCGUGGGGAGCAAACAGGAUUAGAUACCCGAGUAGUC